CUCCUUCUCUCAAGCCCUUCUUUCUGCCUUUCGUGAGAAGAGAUACGUAGACAUUGGAAGAUUGGUCCUUCAAACAACCUCAAGGGCCAACAAGUGUCAGUCUUCCCGAACACAGACACUGACGUGCCAACCGUUUCGAGAAAGCCCUUCACGUUCCGUCUCUUCCCUUCCAGAAAGCCAAAUGAUACUCAGGAAAAAAGGAACCAUUAGGAUGGAGCUCGGCAGGGAGGCAAAAGCCAUUUGGCCUUCUCUCGUGUCAACAUACGUCUUAGAGAACUGUGAGUGGCUGAGACCACCUGCCCUGGCCCCUGACCACAACUAUCCUUUACUGUUGGGCUUGAGGAGGUAUGUACCUGGCAUCACAGCUGGGAAUGUGAAUUUUCUCCCCCAAGAAAAUGAUGCUAUCAAUGAGUCUAAAUAUAUCAAAUAAAAAUUUUAAUAAUC